rnacentral:lncRNA from 1 species
CCCUUUCCCCCCCGGCGCCCCCCCCCCCUUUUUUUAAGAUUUUAUUUAUUUACUUGUUUGAGAGAGAGAGACAAAAAGCACAAGCAGGGGAGGAGCAGAUGAAGAGGGAGAAGCAGACUCCCCGCUGAGCAGGGAGCUCAUGCAGGGCUCGAUCCCAGGACCCUGAGAUCAUGACCUGAGCCGAAGGCAGACACUUAACUGACUGAGCCACCCAGGUGCACAACUAUGUGAUUCUAAAUCCUUAUCUGUAUAGACUUGUCUAGGCUUCCUACCAAAGUUGUCAUGGGCAGAAAACUGAUGAUUCCAUACAGUGAAGAAAUGGCCUGAGGUGGCUCAGUGUAAAUGCAAGCUGUAGGAUUAUUUAUGCAGAGUGCUUUCAGCACUGCUGUCACACGGGCUUAACAGUUGCUAAAUGAAGAGAACUACCUCUUGAAUGUAGUCAAAGAUGGUGAGGUGGAGUGUGAGUAGUAGGGCAGACACCAGACACGUAGAAAGAAUUUGGAAGGUUUUUUUUUUCCCCUGGAGUAUAAACUUCCAGUUCUGUGCUAGCAUUCAUUCCAUCCCAUGCCAGAACUGUUAGGGCAGUGUUGCUAGGAAAUUAGUGGCUGUUAGUCUGGAUGAGUUUAGAUAAGAAUGUGUCCUUCAUACAAUGCAAACAGGGAAGGGUUUUGAAGUGUACGGAACUGGUCUCUGUCCCAUGCUAUUUAAGGAAGCACAGCGCAGGGCUUUUUUACUUAGCUAAGGUGGGGAAUCUUUCCCGAGGUGAUCUAAUUCCCAGGGUCGGGUGGCGUACAGUGCUGCCCAGGGUCUCCUUCCGUCUGCCUGCCUUGACAUGGCUCUCCCUCACCGCGGUAGCCUGGCUUCUGCCCCUGAGCCUGGCUGCUGGGCACCUGGGAACAGAGCGUCGGCCACCCUGGAAGGAAGAUAACACGAAGAAUUGCAAAGUGACCAGCAUGCCUCUCAAAUUUAACACAGCUGGAUAGGAACUCUUCGUUUCUCAGGGAAACCUGCCCCCCUUCCAGUGUACGUGGUCUCUCGUCAACGGAAUGACAGCCAUCUAGUUGCUCAAGACAAAACCCAGGAGUCACUGAAGACUUCUUUCUGCCUUCAAAUACCCUUGUGCCCUCUCCUGCUUGCACUGCUCCCGUCCUCUUCCAGCCACCAUUGGCUGGCUUCUCAACCACCCUGACACCCUCCAAGCCAGCCUCUCUGCUCCGUACAGCUCGUGCUAUACACAACAGUGAG